UUCUCAAAAUUGUCUAUGCUCCUAUCACAAAAUUCCUUUGGAAUGGUCUUGAUUAUGGAGUAUGUUGGAGUGACUCAAAAAUUGUUAUUAGAGUUUGAAAAUAAAUUUUCAUGUGUCUUUUUAUUUGAUUUUUUAAAAUUUAUAUUUUGAAAUGAGAAGUGUCUCAUUAUCAUCUUGUUUGCAACAAUUUUUGAAUAUGUGGAAAGUAAAUCAAUCAUAAAUAAAAUCUGAGGAAACAAGAAUAUUAUUGAUAGAACAA
rnacentral:lncRNA from 1 species